UGGGGAAUUUUGGACAAUGGGCGCAAGCCUGAUCCAGCCAUGCCGCGUGCAGGAUGAAGGCCUUCGGGUUGUAAACUGCUUUUGUACGGAAGGAAAAGACUCUGGUGAAUACCUGGGGUCCAUGACGGUACCGUAAGAAUAAGCACCGGCUAACUACGUGCCAGCAGCCGCGGUAAUACGGAGGGUGCGAGCGUUAAUCGGAAUUACUGGGCGUAAAGCGUGCGUAGGCGGUUAUGUAAGACAGAUGUGAAAUCCCCGGGCUCAACCUGGGAAUUGCAUUUGAAACUGCAUAGCUAGAGUACUGUAGAGGGGGAUGGAAUUCCGCGUGUAGCAGUGAAAUGCGUAGAUAUGCGGAGGAACACCGAUGGCGAAGGCAACCCCCUGGGCCUGUACUGACGCUCAUGCACGAAAGCGUGGGGAGCAAACA
rnacentral:rRNA from 1 species